rnacentral:rRNA from 1 species
AUCUAUGGCCAUACCACCCUGAACCCAACCAAUCUUGUCUGAUCUUGGAAACUAAGCAGGGUCAGGCCUGGUUGGUACUUGGAUGGGAGAAAUGUCAAUCAAAACCACUAUGAGAUA